ensembl:lncRNA
GAAGUGUAGACUAUUAUCCUCAGUCCUGUACUCUUUCUUUGCAUUUCUAGUUAUGGAAUGGAGAUGCACAUGAUCUGAAGCUCAAGUGGCACACAGUCAUUCACUCAGUUCCCACCUCCCAGUGGAAUGGGGGGGAGAAUCAUAAAAAAACAACAAAGUAGAACUCAUGGGUUGAGAUAAAAGCUAUUUAAUAAUACAGAAAUGGAAGAGAAAAAAAGAAAAGGUAAUUGUUUUUGUAUAUUUAUAUAUAUUUUACAUAUACAUAUAUACAUAUACACACACAAAACAAGUGAUUCAAUAUUUUGCCCAUCGCCCACCAACCUGCUCCCAGGCC